AUACGGAGGGUGCAAGCGUUAAUCGGAUUUACUGGGCGUAAAGCGCGCGUAGGCGGUUUGGUAAGUCGGAUGUGAAAUCCCAGGGCUCAACCUUGGAACUGCAUUCGAUACUGCCUCACUAGAGUAUGGUAGAGGGAAGUGGAAUUCCGGGUGUAGCGGUGAAAUGCGUAGAUAUCCGGAGGAACAUCAGUGGCGAAGGCGACUUCCUGGCCCAAUACUGACGCUGAGGUGCGAAAGCGUGGGGAGCAAACAGGAUUAGAAACCCCUGUAGUCC
rnacentral:rRNA from 1 species